rnacentral:rRNA from 1 species
GACGAACGCUGGCGGCGUGCUUAACACAUGCAAGUCGAACGGAAAGGCCCUGCUUUUGUGGGGUGCUCGAGUGGCGAACGGGUGAGUAACACGUGAGUAACCUGCCCUUGACUUUGGGAUAACUUCAGGAAACUGGGGCUAAUACCGGAUAGGAGCUCCUGCUGCAUGGUGGGGGUUGGAAAGUUUCGGCGGUUGGGGAUGGACUCGCGGCUUAUCAGCUUGUUGGUGGGGUAGUGGCUUACCAAGGCUUUGACGGGUAGCCGGCCUGAGAGGGUGACCGGCCACAUUGGGACUGAGAUACGGCCCAGACUCCUACGGGAGGCAGCAGUGGGGAAUAUUGCACAAUGGGCGGAAGCCUGAUGCAGCAACGCCGCGUGCGUGAUGACGGCCUUCGGGUUGUAAACCGCAUUCGCCUGUGACGAAGCGUGAGUGACGGUAAUGGGUAAAGAAGCACCGGCUAACUACGUG